AUAACGGGGCUAAAGUAAGUACCGAAGCUGUAGACUUAGUUUACUAAGUGGUAGGAGAGCGUUCUAUUUGCGUCGAAGGUAUACCGGUAAGGAGUGCUGGAGCGAAUAGAAGUGAGCAUGCAGGCAUGAGUAGCGAUAAUUAAUGUGAGAAUCAUUAACGCCGUAAACCCAAGGUUUCCUACGCGAUGCUCGUCAUCGUAGGGUUAGUCGGGUCCUAAGUCGAGUCCGAAAGGGGUAGACGAUGGCAAAUUGGUUAAUAUUCCAAUACCAACAUUAGUGUGCGAUGGAAGGACGCUUAGGGCUAAGGGGGCUAGCGGAUGGAAGUGCUAGUCUAAGGUCGUAGGAGGUUAUACAGGCAAAUCCGUAUAACAAUACUCCGAGAACUGAAAGGCUUUUUGAAGUCUUCGGAUGGAUAGAAGAACCCCUGAUGCCGUCGAGCCAAGAAAAGUUUCUAAGUUUAGCUAAUGUUGCCCGUACCGUAAACCGACACAGGUGGGUGGGAUGAGUAUUCUAAGGCGCGUGGAAGAACUCUCUUUAAGGAACUCUGCAAAAUAGCACCGUAUCUUCGGUAUAAGGUGUGGUUAGCCUUGUAUUAGGAUUUACUCCGAAAGCAAGGAAACUUACAACAAAGAGUCCCUCCCGACUGUUUACCAAAAACACAGCACUCUGCUAACUCGUAAGAGGAUGUAUAGGGUGUGACGCCUGCCCGGUGCUCGAAGGUUAAUUGAUGGGGUUAGCAUUAGCGAAGCUCUUGAUCGAAGCCCGAGUAAACGGCGGCCGUAACUAUAACGGUCCUAAGGUAGCGAAAUUCCUUGUCGGUUAAAUACCGACCUGCAUGAAUGGCGUAACGAGAUGGGAGCUGUCUCAAAGAGGGAUCCAGUGAAAUUGUAGUGGAGGUGAAAAUUCCUCCUACCCGCGGCAAGACGGAAAGACCCCGUGGACCUUUACUACAGCUUGACACUGCUACUUGGAUAAGAAUGUGCAGGAUAGGUGGGAGGCUUUGAGUAUAUGACGCCAGUUGUAUAUGAGCCAUUGUUGAGAUACCACUCUUUCUUAUUUGGGUAGCUAACCAGCUUGAGUUAUCCUCAAGUGGGACAAUGUCUGGUGGGUAGUUUGACUGGGGCGGUCGCCUCCCAAAUAAUAACGGAGGCUUACAAAGGUUGGCUCAGAACGGUUGGAAAUCGUUCGUAGAGUAUAAAGGUAUAAGCCAGCUUAACUGCAAGACAUACAAGUCAAGCAGAGACGAAAGUCGGUCUUAGUGAUCCGGUGGUUCUGUGUGGAAGGGCCAUCGCUCAAAGGAUAAAAGGUACCCCGGGGAUAACAGGCUGAUCUCCCCCAAGAGCUCACAUCGACGGGGAGGUUUGGCACCUCGAUGUCGGCUCAUCGCAUCCUGGGGCUGGAGCAGGUCCCAAGGGUAUGGCUGUUCGCCAUUUAAAGCGGUACGCGAGCUGGGUUCAGAACGUCGUGAGACAGUUCGGUCCCUAUCUGCCGUGGGCGUAAGAAGAUUGAAGAGAUUUGACCCUAGUACGAGAGGACCGGGUUGAACAAACCACUGGUGUAGCUGUUGUUCUGCCAAGAGCAUCGCAGCGUAGCUAAGUUUGGAAAGGAUAAACGCUGAAAGCAUCUAAGCGUGAAGCCAACUCUAAGAUGAAUCUUCUCUAAGCUCUCUAGAAGACUACUAGUUUGAUAGGCUGGGUGUGUAAUGGAUGAAAGUCCUUUAGCUGACCAGUACUAAUAGAGCGUUUGGCUUAUCUUUAAUAAAGCAU
rnacentral:rRNA from 1 species